CUCUUAUCUAGAGCGGCAGAGGGACUAGGCCCUGUGAAGCCCGGCAACCAUCCAGACAAACGGUUUGGAAAAGGUGCUAAUUCCUACAGGUCAUGAGGAUCUGGAAGAUAAGAG
rnacentral:ncRNA from 2 species